UCGGUUCAGACUGCGCCGCUCUCCACCGCUGACGACGAGGCAGAUGUUGCGGAGCAGACUGUGCGUGCGUGCGUGCGUGCGCGUGGACGGACCUGAUGCCGUCCAGGUGCGUCCCGAGCCGCGCGCUCCGCGGUGCGCUGCGCUGCGCUCAAAUGGCAAACUGCGUCUGUGGGAAAGCGCGCAGAGCGCAGCGCGGCGCGGCUCCCUGUUACGACACGACCAAGGACACCAACCACGCGCUGCAUAUAUCCUCCUUUUCCCGUGUUUCUCUUAUAGAAAUAGUUCUGGUAAGUUGCCAUUUCUGACACGAUGUGCAGCGUCACCGUAGUUAAAUUCAUUUGGACGUAGAGACACGUGUGUUUCUGUGCGUCUCGGGAGUGACACAACUACCCCGGACACAAAGGUGUGGUUCUGUCUUCCUGGUUUUCAGUCAACACGACGUCAGCUGAGCUCCCGAUCAGAGACCUGGAGUCUUAUUAUCUAUCUGCAUCUAUUCAUCUCAUGGGCUUCACGUGUGGUGACAUGAAAAUAUGUCUGGCCAGAUCUAAAAAUAGAAUCCAGGUCAGGAGGUGUUUUUUUUUGUUGUUUUUUUUGGAGCUGCAAGUUUGUUUUUGCAAAAAGAACAUGACAUGAUGUUAUAAAGUUCACAAAUAUCACCCAAGCAAACAUUAGAUAUUGGUCUCCAGAGGGGGGCUCCAGGAGGUCAGCUAGUGAGAAGAUAAUUGGAAAAAUGUCCUACUGCAAUCAAAAAUGACCUAUUGAGAUGACUUUGCCGGGAAAAGUCCGUACAUACUUGAUAAUGAGGGUUGCGUUACAUUUCGUGAAAGCUAAUUAGACUUUUUCAAGGAGCGGGUGAAACGCAAACCCUCCAGAUGUCGCCUCCCUCUCUUUGUUUGGGCCUCAGACUUUAUUUGUGGUAAGAGAUCCGUUAGUCUGCAGACAGACAUUAUUAUUAAUCUGCCAUUCAGGCUCUUGCUGCACAGUGUGUGUGUGUGCGUGUGUGUGUGUGUGCGUGUGCGCCGCGCAAUUCAAAUUGACAAAAUUAAAACGGAAGUUUGUUGUUGUGCAACAUCAUAUUUAAUUUAACCGGUCUGAGUCAGACAGCUAUUUUAGCUUUUCAUCCAUUAGGUGAACAGCUUACGCAGGCUAGUCAUGAUGGAGGACCAAGCCAGAAAAACACAAAUAGAGGUCACAGCGAGCGAGAUGAGUAACCACGAGUCCCACUGAUGCAGCCAUUAGCCGCUCUGCACAAGCGCCUGGCGUUGAUGAACUGUGCUCCGAAUAUGCUGCCUCAGCCUUGUGGGCACGCAAUAAACUUUGACUUCAUCCCCGGUCCCUCUACCUCUGCAGGAAGAUGAAGCGCGCCCCCCCACGGACCGUAAGCACCGCGCUCCGCGCCUCUCGGGCCUGGAACCCAAACACGUGGGUAAUAAAAAGCCUCGUUUCCAGCAGAGCUGACAAGUGUUUGCAGUUGGUUAACGGCGCGUGCAGCAGCUAAUUAAUAGAAAAAUACACAUCCCUCGGCCUUUAAGGAUCAUUAGCCGCGCUUUUAUUUUAGCGCCGUAUAGCGGGACAAACCCGCCAUGUGACAAAUUGAGUAUUCAAUUAUGUACAAACACAAAGUUUAAUCCCUUAUCCUGAUCCCUUCGGGAUUUCUACUUCUUUAGGCCAGUUGAGCUGCUCUGCAAUCCCCCCCCACGUAUCCAAAAGAAGCUCCUCGUGGGGCCCAAGAGCUCCUGGUUGGGAUCCCGCUUGUUGCUGGAGUUGUUGAAAGCAGAUUACAGGUUAUUCUUUUUUUUUAAUAUCAAUGCCUCACAUUGAUUUAAUACAUCUUUCCUCGUAAAGGUUCUGGCCCCUCGGUGGGAUAUUGAUCCGUGUUCUUUUCCCCAACACGAGGUCUGUUCCUCACCAUUACGACCCUGCAGAACAUCUCCAGAUGCAAUAUUAAUGACACGAGCGGUGGAUGAGUAGCAACCUGACGGCUCGCUGGGGGCCCGCUAGGGGCCUGCUGGGGGCUCGCUGGCUCACGCAGUUCGAUGACAUCAGGCAGAGCGGAGACCUUCCCGGGGAAAGAAGAGACAGUGAGACAGUGGGAGGGACGUGUCCUCGGUUAGUAGAUCCGUGGUGCGGAUCAGCUCACAGGCAAAAGUUUUGUUUUAUCAAAUUCUGUUGAAUGAAAUCAACUAUUUUUGAACUGGGAUGAUACAAAAAGCAGGAAACCGCUGUGACAUUUUCAAGGAGUGAGAGGAACUAACAGGAAGCAUAUUUAUUAUAAAAACAGAACUGGACUGAACAGAUUUAUGCCAACUAUCCCGUCCGACGACAUUUUAAAUUCUGUACAUUGAAUAACAUCCUUAUUUAUACAUCACUGUCUGAAAAAUUACUCUUGAUAAAUAAUUGGGAACCUAAAGGUUUAAUGACUCUUUUCCAUAUGAUUCAGUUGCACAGGUGGUUUAAAGGUUGAGACCUCUACUUUUUAAACGAGUGAAUAAGGGCGAUUUAACAUUUAACAAGUGUUAAAAUCCACAGCCCAUUUCCAUUAACUUUCAACUAUGCAGAUUCUGGACGGUAAAAUCUUAACAUGCAGAUAGGAUUUGUCAAGCAUAACGACAAACAUUUUAUUUAAUUCUGAAGGCGGUGGCGAGAAAAGUGGCCUCCGGGGCGAACGCUAAUGGGGAUCUGAGCGGAACGCUUAGAAGGAAAGAAUAAAAAGCCAAAUGUCACUCUGGAUGGCAUUUAGUCCCACGUCACCCUCGCAGCCAUUUACCUUCCAGUGAAAAUAUACAUUCCUCCUCCCGCCGACGCCUGAAAGCCAUCAUUAUGAUAUAAUGAGUCAUAAUGGUCAAGAAAAAAAAAAAGGCGUCUAUUUUGAGUUAAAUACAUCACAUAAAUGCAUGCACCUUUUUUUGUACAUGUCAUUGAACUUUUAAACAGCGGGCGGGUUCAGGAAGUCCCACUCGACCUCCACCCAAGUGGCCUCACGGAGAAAAAGGUGCUUAAUGCCCCGAAACCGAGGUUGUGCGUUGUGAUUAAGAUGCUCCCAUUCAACAUUUAACGCCGCACUAAUCAAUAUUAUUACAGAAACCAUGGUUAAAGUGUCUGUGCUGUGAAAUAGUUUACUCACCGUGAUAACAACCUUUAGUGUCCUUUUACUGGCAGUUUUCACAACUUGAACUAGUUGUGAGUUGGAUAACUGCCACAAUCUGAUGAAAUGCAUGUUGGUCAAAAUGAAUCAAUCAUGCUUUAAUCCUCGGCCGUGACACCAUAAAAAGAUUAAAGUGGUAUCUGACUUUCAAGGCCGUGAAAAGCUUCUGGGGGCGAUGAAGCUUUCAUUGCAAGACCUGCUGAGAAAGUUGAUGGUCUCAGAUUUUACUUUGAAGGGACUAUUUGUUCGAAGAAAUACCUUUAAGCUGGAUUUCUUUUAAAAAGGUGUACUUUCAUCACAUAAGGCUGUGCAAAAAGCAUCCGCGUGAAUUAAAGCACUGCAGGGUCCUCUUCACCGUCACAGCUGUUUUUUUUUGGUCUCAUCCAGCACUCGACAAGUAGACAGUAAAGUGCAAAGUGGCAAGGAAGUGCAUUUCCCCAGAGUGGAUGUUUGUGCCUUUGUUUGCUGAGAAAAAGCACAGAUUUGAAGCGCAGUCCGCCGCUGUUUCACCCGGCAGCGAUGAGGCGGCUCCAGAAAGAAGAUGAACCGUACUUUCGUCUUCGUCGCCCCCCAUCUGGUCGACCCAGAGUUCCGCUGCUGUUGUGCAACGUUGAAGAGGUGGACGGGAGAGUAACGUCCUUCAACGCUGCUGCGACAGUCCCCACAACAUAACUAUCAACUAAUUGGCUUUAACUGUAGCGUUUAUGUGUCGCCAGUGGCGAAUUCAUCAGCUGCUUAGAAACCGUCUGACUAGUAACAAGGGCUCCCAUUCAUAUGGGUUCAUAUGGCAACCUUUAUAAACUGACACUUCUCUAUUAUUACCCUGGUGGAACCUUCAUGCCUUCAGCCUUCUGCAGCUCCUUCUGUCACCUCCACCUACGCAUCAUAUGCUAAGCUUUUGUUGAUUUAACUGGGACCUGAUGUUCAUGGGUUGUUUUGGUUCUUCUACAUAAUCCUCCGUGUUGCUGUUUGAGAAGCUCUUGUCUGCACAAACGUCAGAAGUACUUCUACGAAAUACUCAGAAAUACUUCUCAUGUUCUUUUUCGUCCUGCCUCUACUACCACAAAGGUGGAGAGAACUAUUUAAUGACCACCAGGUCUCUCUUGCUGGAGUUGCAUUUAAGAGUCAUAAAAUGUGCUCUUACAUCGAACCAACAACCCCUGCAGACGAUAUGGCAACCAGGGCCGAACACCGAGCAUGACUGGAACUGCUGGAGUGAUGAUAACCCGUUAAGUCCGGCUCCUGCUGCAGAGAAGUGAGUUUUUAAUGAAUUAAAUGAGGUUUGGACGCUCUAAUAUCAGUCAUGAGAGAACACACUGUGGCUCCCACGAGGCCCCGGGGCCACUAGCUUUAUGAGCACUGUAAAUCAAAGUGUAAUUAUUCUUCUUUUUUUUUACAGAGUCACAAAGUUUGUUGGUGCACCUGCUGCUGUUUUUGGUGAACAAUGAAAAAAUAUCAACUUCUGUUGCUGUGAGUGAGGAUAUAGUUCCCAAUGAUUUCAAGGUCGGUGUGCCAGCUGGUAUUUACUGUAUAUUCCCUCCAAUAUGAUACGCUUAUUAAAAAUCAGCCAUCUAAUCAAAUCAAAGAUUGUUUAUAUCAUUGAUGGUGUGUGGUUAACUCACACACUGUAAAAUCCAGAUCCAAGGAGUAAAAUAUCCCCAAAAAUAAAACGGUUUUCUCCCUUUAAUGUCAAACCGUUAGCGGUUAUUG
ensembl:lncRNA